rnacentral:rRNA from 1 species
AGCAGCCGCGGUAAUUCCAGCUCCAAUAGCGUAUAUUAAAGUUGUUGUAGUUAAAAAGCUCGUAGUUGAAUUUCGAGACCGGUCCACUGGUCGUGCUUUUGUACGUACUGGUUUUAUUGGUUUCUCCUUUCUGACGAACUAUAAUGCCAUUAAUUUGGUGUUAUGGGGAAUCAGGACUGUUACUUUGAAAAAAUUAGAGUGUUUAAAGCAGGCUCACGCUUGAAUACAUUAGCAAGGAAUAAUAAAAUAGGACGGUGGUCCUGUUUUGUUGGUUUCUGAAUCACCGUAAUGAUUAAUAGGGAUAGUUGGGGGCAUUAGUAUUCAAUUGUCAGAGGUGAAAUUCUUGGAUUUAUUGAAGACUAACUUCUGCGAAAGCAUUUGCCAAGGAUGUUUCAUUAAUCAAGAACGAAAGUUAGGGAUCGAAGACGAUCAGAUACCGUCGUAGUCUUAACCAUAAACUAUGCCGACUAGGAAUCAGACUCUAGUUUAUUUUUAAUGACGAGUUCGGCGCCGUUACGGAACCUGAGCGG